rnacentral:sRNA from 1 species
GGUCCCAUGGGACUACAAUUAUCCCAUGGGACCAAAAAAAAAUCCCAUGGGAUAAUGGUCGAUCCCAUGGGAUU